AGUGAACGCUGGCGGCGUGCUUAACACAUGCAAGUCGAACGAGAACGGAUUAUAGCUUGCUAUAAUUGUCAGCUAAGUGGCGCACGGGUGAGUAAUGUAUAGGUAAUAUGCCUCUUACUAAGGGAUAACAAAUGGAAACGUUUGCUAAUACCUUAUACUCCUUAUUAACAGAAGUUAAUAAGGGAAAGAUUUAUUGGUAAGAGAUUAGCCUGUAUUGUAUCAGUUAGUUGGUGGGGUAAUGGCUUACCAAGACUAUGACACAUAACUGGUUUGAGGUGAUGAUCAAUCACACUGGAACUGAGACACGGUCCAGACUCCUACGGGAGGCAGCAGUGGGGAAUAUUGCAAAAUGGACGAAAGUCUGAUGCAGCAACGCCGCGUGGAGGAUGACACAUUUCGGUGCGUAAACUCCUUUUAUAUGAGAAGAUAAUGACGGUAUGAUAUGAAUAAGCACCGGCUAACUCCGUGCCAGCCGCCGCAGUAA
rnacentral:rRNA from 1 species